CUUGCAAUGGGAAGAAAUCGCCCGUUGCCAUCUUUUUAGACAUAACAGCUGCUGUUAAGACUGUUGACUCGCCAUAACGAACCACAGUUGCUCCAUUUGCUUGUUUUGCCACCUGACCAAUUUCAACAACCAAGGGUUUCCCCGCAAAAGUUGUUGUAAAUGUUUGUUUUGACAUAAAAUAAAUUCCUUUGAAAAGCAGAAAAUCCACUUUUCAAUUCCUUUCAAAAAUAAGUUUUUUGUAAUCUGAUAUACGCUGUUUUGCUACAAAGAGCAAGCUAGCAUAAAACUGCUAAAUU
rnacentral:antisense_RNA from 1 species